UCACUUUUGGCCCACUUUUUCUCCGAAUUUGCAGUUUUCACCCCAAAAGUUGCCAAUUCUUCAAUUUGCACCUAAAAUACAAAUAAUAGCCAUAUUAAGCACCAAUUAUCGUAAAAACACAUCAAAAGCUCCAAUUAAAAGGUACAAUUAAGUGUAUAAAUAUACACUUAACACACCCCCAAACUUGAACUUUUGCUUGUCCUCAAGUAAAAUCAAAUUAAGAACACAAACCAUGACAAUACAUCUCAUUACAUAGGUCGAUUGGUCAACUUCGUGUUUUCAGAACUUGCAAUUAUGAUGAUAAUUCCUAGGUAUUCGCAAGCUUAACAUUCAACGGCACGUAGUCACUCACUAUUACCAAAAACCACAAGUCAUACAAUUGCUUCAAGUAUCCAAUAUUUGCAAGUUAAAGAUAGAAAAAAUUUAUACUUACAUGCAUAUAUUUGACUCCAAAUACUCACCAAAUUAUUUUACUCAACUAAUAUUGAACAAUAAGCUAUUGGGAUCAUUGGGGCUUUGUGGCUUUCAAUUGUUAGGCUCUUUGGUCCGAGGUAGGUAGUAUGGGAAUGUGUGGCUAAUUUUCUUGAAUUGAGGUGAAUACGCCAAAAUUUGAAAGAUAGGCGUUUGAAACAAUGAAUUCACCUCUAGGGACUUAAAUAAACUCGAUUCUCCAAAAUUCACACGUCAACACUUUUGCCUUGAGGCAAUGGAUCGAGUUUUCAACACAACUCAACAACUAGUCCUUAUUUCUCCCUUCUAAUCUAUUCUUCUUCUUCUCUCUUUUUUUUUUUUUUUUUCAAAUCGAAGGAUUUAGAUAUAUAUAUAUGAAGAUGCACAUAUAUAACUAUCCUUUUUCUUUUUCUCUUUUUUUUUUUUUUUUUUUUUUUUUAUUAUUAUUUUUUUUUUUUCGAAGAAGAAGAAAGAUCUUAUAAGAAUUUUUCGACCGACCACCAAGGGAUAAUUAUUCAAAAAUCUCCACUUUUCUACCUUCUACUAAUUGGCUAAAAGAAAGAACACCUUUUCUCCGAGGCUCAAAUCAAGGUUCUAAGGAUAAAUUGACAAAAAGGGUAGGCUUGAAAGGCUCAAACGGUUCAAAGAAGGCCCAAAUCAUAUCCCAAAUCACUUAUUAUCAACACUUCGUAUCAUAAAUGUCAUAAGGUGAGAUUUAAAACCGAACAAAGCAUGAUUGAGCACAAAUAAAUUCCAAAUUUAAAAUGCAAAACAUUCAACCAAAGCAAUGCACAAGGUGUGAUUCCUAACAAUAAUUCACUUCUACGUUCCGUUGAAUCGAAAG
rnacentral:lncRNA from 1 species